rnacentral:rRNA from 1 species
UGGGGAAUAUUGCACAAUGGGCGCAAGCCUGAUGCAGCCAUGCCGCGUGUAUGAAGAAGGUCUUCUGGUUGUAAAGUACUUUCAGUCGGGAGGAAGGUGGUAAGGUUAAUAACCUUAUCAAUUGACGUUACCGACAGAAGAAGCACCGGCUAACUCCGUGCCAGCAGCCGCGGUAAUACGGAGGGUGCAAGCGUUAAUCGGAAUUACUGGGCGUAAAGCGCACGCAGGCGGUUGAUUGAGUCAGAUGUGAAAUCCCCGGGCUUAACCCGGGAAUUGCAUCUGAUACUGGUCAGCUAGAGUCUUGUAGAGGGGGGUAGAAUUCCAUGUGUAGCGGUGAAAUGCGUAGAGAUGUGGAGGAAUACCGGUGGCGAAGGCGGCCCCCUGGACAAAGACUGACGCUCAGGUGCGAAAGCGGGGGGAGCAAACAGG